UACGGGGGGGGCAAGCGUUGUUCGGAAUUACUGGGCGUAAAGGGCUCGUAGGCGGCCAACUAAGUCAGACGUGAAAUCCCUCGGCUUAACCGGGGAACUGCGUCUGAUACUGGAUGGCUUGGAUUCGGGAGAGGAAUGCGGAAUUCCAGGUGUAGCGGUGAAAUGCGUAGAUAUCUGGAGGAACACCGGUGGCGAAGGCGGCAUUCUGGACCGACAUUGACGCUGAGGAGCGAAAGCCAGGGGAGCAAACGGG
rnacentral:rRNA from 1 species